rnacentral:rRNA from 1 species
CGCGUAGGCAAUCUGCCCUCAGAUGGGGAAUAACCUCGGGAAACCGAGGCUAAUACCACAUAAUGUCGGAGGACCGCAUGGUCCUCCGAUCAAAGGCUUCGGCCGUCUGAGGAUGAGCCUGCGUCGGAUUAGCUAGUUGGUGGGGUAAUGGCCCACCAAGGCAACGAUCCGUAGCGGGUCUGAGAGGAUGAUCCGCCACACUGGCACUGAGACACGGGCCAGACUCCUACGGGAGCAGCAGUGAGGAAUAUUGCGCAAUGGACGAAAGUCUGACGCAGCCACGCCGCGUGCAGGAAGACA